rnacentral:rRNA from 1 species
AUUGAACGCUGGCGGCAGGCCUAACACAUGCAAGUCGAGCGGAUGAGAAGAGCUUGCUCUUCGAUUCAGCGGCGGACGGGUGAGUAAUGCCUAGGAAUCUGCCUGGUAGUGGGGGACAACGUUUCGAAAGGAGCGCUAAUACCGCAUACGUCCUACGGGAGAAAGCAGGGGACCUUCGGGCCUUGCGCCAUCAGAUGAGCCUAGGUCGGAUUAGCUAGUUGGUGAGGUAAUGGCUCACCAAGGCGACGAUCCGUAACUGGUCUGAGAGGAUGAGCAGGCAGACUGGAACUGAGACACGGUCAAGACUCCUACGGGAGGCAGCAGUGGGGAAUAUUGGACAAUGGGCGAAAGGCUGAUCCAGCCAUGCCGCGUGUGUGAAGAAGGUCUUCGGAUUGUACAGCACUUUAAGUUGGGAGGAAGGGCAGUAAGCGAAUACCUUGCUGUUUUGACGUUACCGACAGAAUAAGCACCGGCAAACUCUGUGCCAGCCGCCGCAGUAAUAC